UACGUAGGUGGCAAGCGUUGUCCGGAUUUAUUGGGUUUAAAGGGUGCGUAGGCGGCCCUGUAAGUCAGUGCUGAAAUAUCCCGGCUUAACCGGGAGGGUGGCAUUGAUACUGCGGGGCUAGAGUACAGAUGGGGUAGGCGGAAUUGACGGUGUAGCGGUGAAAUGCUUAGAUAUCGUCAAGAACACCUAUAGCGAAGGCAGCUUACUAGGCUGUAACUGACGCUGAGGCACGAAAGUGUGGGGAUCAAACAGG
rnacentral:rRNA from 1 species